AAUAUGUGGAAGUAACUAUUUGUAAAAAUAACGGGACACAUGGUUGCAUUUAUAAUUAAAGAAAAAAAAGAAUGUAACUGCACAAUUAAUCAGUCAUAAUCGCUCUUGUAGAACAUUCUUAAAAAUAGGAUAUUCCAAUUUAACGAGUUAUUCUUCAAUUUACAGUCUACUUUUUCUUUUUAUUUCAAUAUAUUUAAAAAUAUUUUUCCAAUUUGAUUUAUUACAUAACAGUCAAUUUGUUUGUAUCAUUGCGUGAUAAAUAACUGUUGUCGUAUGUCGUACGUGCACAUGGUGUGAUUGACCACGCAGUUAUUGACACAUACAUAUCAUAUAACACUUCAACCGAAGCCUGAUAACAGCUCACUGUGUGACGCAACCUCAACACAACAUGUUGCAAUCGUACGACGAGAUAAAAAGAUCACGUGAUUGUGUCACUCAUUCAUGAUAAACGAUCGUCGCAAAGCACGUGUCUCGGGAAUUAUCUAACAUUUCGGCAUCUCAUUAAUCCAUAUGGGUCGCAUCUCAUUAUAUCGAUUGAAUGGAUUGAAUGGAGAAAGAAAACUAAAACGAAAAGACUGUUUAAACUGAUUCGAGAUUUAUCUAUGAGCGAUCUUUGACGAAUGAAUCGAAAUGUGAAUUAGUUACUACUUUGAUUUCACAUUAUGAUAUCUCUUUUUCUACUUAUGUAAAAUGUAAACGUAAUACAAUGCUCUACUUUCUGAAGAA